UGUGUAGGCGGGCUUUUAAGUCAGUGGUGAAAUCUCCGGGCUCAACCUGGAAACUGCCAUUGAUACUAUUAGUCUUGAAUUUUGUUGAGGUAGGCGGAAUAAGUCAUGUAGCGGUGAAAUGCAUAGAUAUGACUUAGAACACCAAUUGCGAAGGCAGCUUGCUAAACAAAUAUUGACGCUGAGGCACGAAAGCGUGGGGAUCAAACAGGAUUAGAUACCCUGGUAGUCCACGCCCUAAACGAUGAUUACUCGACAUACGCGAUACACAGUGUGUGUCUGAGCGAAAGCAUUAAGUAAUCCACCUGGGAAGUACGACCGCAAGGUUGAA
rnacentral:rRNA from 1 species